GACGAACGCUGGCGGCGUGCCUAAUACAUGCAAGUAGAACGCUGAAGGAGGAGCUUGCUCUUCUGGAUGAGUUGCGAACGGGUGAGUAACGCGUAGGUAACCUGCCUGGUAGCGGGGGAUAACUAUUGGAAACGAUAGCUAAUACCGCAUAAGAGUAGAUGUUGCAUGACAUUUACUUAAAAGGUGCAAUUGCAUCACUACCAGAUGGACCUGCGUUGUAUUAGCUAGUUGGUGGGGUAACGGCUUACCAAGGCGACGAUACAUAGCCGACCUGAGAGGGUGAUCGGCCACACUGGGACUGAGACACGGCCCAGACUCCUACGGGAGGCAGCAGUAGGGAAUCUUCGGCAAUGGACGGAAGUCUGACCGAGCAACGCCGCGGGAGUGAAGAAGGGUUUCGGAUCGGAAAGCUCUGUUGUAAGAGAAGAAAGAGUGUGAGAGUGGAAAGUUCACACUGUGACGGUAUCUUACCAGAAAGGGACGGCUAACUACGUG
rnacentral:rRNA from 1 species